AGAGUUUGAUCCUGGCUCAGGAUGAACGCUGGCGGCGUGCCUAAUACAUGCAAGUCGAACGCGAGCACUUGUGCUCGAGUGGCGAACGGGUGAGUAAUACAUAAGUAACCUGCCCUAGACAGGGGGAUAACUAUUGGAAACGAUAGCUAAGACCGCAUAGGUACGGACACUGCAUGGUGACCGUAUUAAAAGUGCCUCAAAGCACUGGUAGAGGAUGGACUUAUGGCGCAUUAGCUGGUUGGCGGGGUAACGGCCCACCAAGGCGACGAUGCGUAGCCGACCUGAGAGGGUGACCGGCCACACUGGGACUGAGACACGGCCCAGACUCCUACGGGAGGCAGCAGUAGGGAAUUUUCGGCAAUGGGGGAAACCCUGACCGAGCAACGCCGCGUGAAGGAAGAAGGUUUUCGGAUUGUAAACUUCUGUUAUAAAGGAAGAACGGCGGCUACAGGAAAUGGUAGCCGAGUGACGGUACUUUAUUAGAAAGCCACGGCUAACUACGUGCCAGCAGCCGCGGUAAUACGUAGGUGGCAAGCGUUAUCCGGAAUUAUUGGGCGUAAAGAGGGAGCAGGCGGCAGCAAGGGUCUGUGGUGAAAGCCUGAAGCUUAACUUCAGUAAGCCAUAGAAACCAGGCAGCUAGAGUGCAGGAGAGGAUCGUGGAAUUCCAUGUGUAGCGGUGAAAUGCGUAGAUAUAUGGAGGAACACCAGUGGCGAAGGCGACGAUCUGGCCUGCAACUGACGCUCAGUCCCGAAAGCGUGGGGAGCAAAUAGGAUUAGAUACCCUAGUAGUCCACGCCGUAAACG
rnacentral:rRNA from 1 species